GUUGCCAUCGCGUCUCCGCCUGCAGCAUCUGUCCGAUCUUUCCUGAUUCCCCCCUCCAUUCCCUUCCUCUCCAUCCCAUAGCCAGAGGAAGGGGAUGGCCCUUGGGCGGCCCCACCUUUACCCUACCCCAGGUGCAGGCAUCUGGAGGAGAGAGUCGGAGAGCAGAAACCACUUGGCUCCCAGACAAUUCUCCUACAGGCUUUGGGCCUGG
rnacentral:sRNA from 1 species